CUACGUGCCAGCAGCCGCGGUAAUACGGAGGGUGCGAGCGUUAAUCGGAAUAACUGGGCGUAAAGGGCACGCAGGCGGUGACUUAAGUGAGGUGUGAAAGCCCCGGGUUUAACCUGGGAAUUGCAUUUCAUACUGGGUCGCUAGAGUACUUUAGGGAGGGGUAGAAUUCCACGUGUAGCGGUGAAAUGCGUAGAGAUGUGGAGGAAUACCGAAGGCGAAGGCAGCCCCUUGGGAAUGUACUGACGCUCAUGUGCGAAAGCGUGGGGAGCAAACAGGAUUAGAUACCCUGGUAGUCCACGCUGUAAACGAUGUCGAUUUGGGGGUUGAACUUUGAGUUUGGCGCCCGUAGCUAACGUGAUAAAUCGACCGCCUGGGGAGUACGGCCGCAAGGUUAAAACUCAAAUGAAUUGACGGGGGCCCGCACAAGCGGUGGAGCAUGUGGUUUAAUUCGAUGCAACGCGAAGAACCUUACCUACUCUUGACAUCCAGAGAACAUUC
rnacentral:rRNA from 1 species